UGGCGGACGGGUGAGUAAUGUCUGGGAAACUGCCUGAUGGAGGGGGAUAACUACUGGAAACGGUAGCUAAUACCGCAUAACGUCGCAAGACCAAAGAGGGGGACCUUCGGGCCUCUUGCCAUCGGAUGUGCCCAGAUGGGAUUAGCUAGUAGGUGGGGUAAAGGGCUCACCUAGGCGACGAUCCCUAGCUGGUCUGAGAGGAUGACCAGCCACACUGGAACUGAGACACGGUCCAGACUCCUACGGGAGGCAGCAUG
rnacentral:rRNA from 1 species